AGUACUAUGUAAAUCAGUGCUAUGUGGGGUCAUUAUUACAUUAUGUGUGCUUGAUUUAAAAAAAUCAAACCUGUGAUAUGAGUUUGACAUGCCUAGCAGAGGAGAAAAGAUUUUUGCCAUUUCCUCUACCUAUACUUGUCAUAAUCUUAUCUACCUCUAUUAGGUCAUCUCUUAGCCUCCUUACUCUUAGGAAAACAAGCCCAGCGAAUCUCUUGGCCUUCAUUAUUCAGGGAACCUAGUUCAAGAGCCACAAGGCAAUGUUGCAGCUCUUUAAAACCCUGGUUAGACCAAACUUGGAAUAUCUUGUUCAGUUCCUGUUGCCUCAUUAUAGGAAGAAUAUGGAAGCUUCAGAGACAGUACGGAGGACAUUUAUCAGGAUACUGGCUGGACGAGAGGGCAUGUCUUAAUGAAGACGCUGCCUGACUUACUGAGUUCCUUCAGUAUUUUGUUUGCUGCUCUGGAGGUGGCGAGGAAACUUGAGUAUACCACCAAUUACGACAAAUUUUUUGGACACUCCUGCAGCAUCAGCUUUAACGGGCUACUGAGAAUGGAGCAGAGAUAAGUCCUGUCCAGGUGUGAAGAUUGCUGCUCCCAUAGAAACCAAGAGACCUUUCUAGUUUGGUGCUAACAAAAUAAACUCUGAAUGGGACAUUCAAAAGCUGUGAAGUAAGUAUUAAUUUUCAAGGAAAUUUGCAGUAAUUAUACCUUCCUAU